CCUACGGGAGGCAGCAGUGAGGAAUAUUGGUCAAUGGACGAGAGUCUGAACCAGCCAAGUAGCGUGAAGGAUGACUGCCCUAUGGGUUGUAAACUUCUUUUAUAAAGGAAUAAAACGAGGCACGUGUGCCCUUUUGCAUGUACUUUAUGAAUAAGGAUCGGCUAACUCCGUGCCAGCAGCCGCGGUAAUACGGAGGAUCCGAGCGUUAUCCGGUAUUAUUGGGUUUAAAGGGAGCGUAGAUGGGUUGUUAAGUCAGUUGUGAAAGUUUGCGGCUCAACCGUAAAAUUGCAAUUGAUACUGGCAGUCUUGAGUACAGUUGAGGUAGGCGGAAUUCGUGGUGUAGCGGUGAAAUGCUUAGAUAUCACGAAGAACCCCGAUUGCGAAGGCAGCUUACUAAACUGUGACUGACAUUGAUGCUCGAAAGUGUGGGUAUCAAACAGGAUUAGAUACCCCUGUAGUC
rnacentral:rRNA from 1 species